GCCGCAUGCAUUCGCGUACGUGAUUAAUUAUUUUAGGACUCUUGGACGCCUCCACAGCUGCCUUUUAAUUAACGCGCGCUCAAUCGAGCUAAUUUAUUCCAAUAUACAGACUGGCGUAUGGACCAACCGACAAGAUCCACUGAGCCAUAACUGCAAAGAGAUUUUAAUUCCGCCGAGAACUCGAGCCCUGAUUGAAGAAUCCAAGAGUAAACGCGCGUGUCAUCGUGUCAUCGUGUGUCUAUGUUUUGCUCCCGAAACUCGAGGCGAUUGAUUUUCUAAAAAGGCGAGAAACGCUGGAAACUUGGAAACUAUUGAUCUUGAAGUGAUCACUUCAAUCUCUGCGUGUUUUGGAAAUAAUUAGUGAAAGUACUGGACAAAAGUAGUGACUAUUCAGUAAAUCUUCAGCAAAUUAAAAUAUAUACGUCUUUGUAAGCUAACUCUGCUACUUUCAUCUCUUAAUAACCGUAUAAUCUAUAUUUUUAA